rnacentral:ncRNA from 1 species
AUUGACCCAGGCGAUGAAGCUCGCCUCAACCGCCGCACCCGGCUAAUGGCUUCUACCGCGCG